AUUGAACGCUGGCGGCAUGCCUUACACAUGCAAGUCGAACGGUAACGGGCCUUCGGGUGCCGACGAGUGGCGAACGGGUGAGUAAUGCAUCGGAACGUACCUUUCAGUGGGGGAUAACGUAGCGAAAGUUACGCUAAUACCGCAUAUUCUGUGAGCAGGAAAGCAGGGGAUCGCAAGACCUUGCGCUGAUUGAGCGGCCGAUGUCAGAUUAGCUAGUUGGUGAGGUAAAGGCUCACCAAGGCGACGAUCUGUAGCGGGUCUGAGAGGAUGAUCCGCCACACUGGAACGGGGAAACGGUCCAGACUCCGACGGGAGGCAGCAGGGGGGAAUAUUGGACAAUGGGCGAAAGCCUGAUCCAGCCAUGCCGCGUGUGUGAAGAAGGUCUUCGGAUUGUAAAGCACUUUAAGUCGGGAGGAAGGGCUGUAGGCUAAUACCUUGCAGUUUUGACGUUACCGACAGAAUAAGCACCGGCUAACUUCGUGCCAGCCGCCGCAGUAAGAC
rnacentral:rRNA from 1 species